rnacentral:rRNA from 1 species
GUUUACAGCCAUGCCACCCUGAACAAGCCUGAUCCCAUCUAAUCUCGGAAACUAAGCAGGAUUGGGCCUGGUUAGUACUUGGAUGCGAGACCACCUGUGAAGACCAGGUGCUGUAGGCG